UCCACAGCUGCUGGCAGCUGCAUUAUUGAAAUAGCCUCAGAAAGGGUGAUGCCUAAAGGCCAGGAAAGCCUGGCUCAGGAUUGCCUGGAAGAAUCCGUGCUCUCAUCUGGUCUUCCCUGUGGCCAGAGCAGAGGGGAUGAGAGUCCAGCAUCUGUGUUGCCACUCAAAAAAGAGCUUCCCAAAGCAACAGUGAGCUGUUUGUCAAGGAAAUCAGGCUCUCCAGAGGAUGCUGAAGGGGAAUCCAGAGGAGCUGAGCAGCCACCAGGCAGCACUAAAUUAAGGGACACAGCUGUAGGCCAGAGUGGGCAGGAAGAGCCACCCAGCUGGAAGAAAAGUGGCAAAGUAAUUCGUGUCCCACAGGAGGAGGAAGAAAGGCCAAAACAACGGACCUGCAUUUCAGAAGCACAGCCUGAGCAAAAGAGACGUUUCUCUCCAGGCUGUGCCAAUCCAAGUGAGGAAAGGUGUGGCUAUUACCUCAG